rnacentral:rRNA from 1 species
GGGCUUGACAUCCCACGAACCUGAUAGAGAUAUCGGGGUGCCGCAAGGAGCGCAGAGACAGGUGCUGCAUGGCUGUCGUCAGCUCGUGUCGUGAGAUGUUGGGUUAAGUCCCGCAACGAGCGCAACCCUUGUCUUCUGUUGCCAUCAGGUUAAGCUGGGCACUCUGAAGAGACUGCCGGUGACAAACCGGAGGAAGGUGGGGAUGACGUCAAGUCAGCAUGGCCUUUAUGUCUGGGGCCACACACGUGCUACAAUGGCCGGCACAAACCGUCGCGAGCCCGCAAGGGGGAGCUAAUCGGACAAAGCCGGUCUCAGUUCGGAUUGUAGGCUGCAACUCGCCUGCAUGAAGUUGGAAUCGCUAGUAAUCGCGGAUCAGCACGCCGCGGUGAAUACGUUCCCGGGCCUUGUACACACCGCCCGUCACAUCACGAAAGCUGGCUGUACUCGAAGUCGCUGAG